GGUCUUAUAUUCAUGGAAUGAUAUUGGAAUGCAAUUCUGAAGGUGUAAAAAGAUACUAAGACUU
rnacentral:tRNA from 1 species